rnacentral:rRNA from 1 species
AGUGAACGCUGGCGGUAGGCCUAACACAUGCAAGUCGAACGGCAGCACAGUAAGAGCUUGCUCUUACGGGUGGCGAGUGGCGUACGGGUGAGGAAUACAUCGGAAUCUACUUUUUCGUGGGGGAUAACGUAGGGAAACUUACGCUAAUACCGCAUACGACCUACGGGUGAAAGCAGGGGAUCUUCGGACCUUGCGCGAUUGAAUGAGCCGAUGUCGGAUUAGCUAGUUGGCGGGGUAAAGGCCCACCAAGGCGACGAUCCGUAGCUGGUCUGAGAGGAUGAUCAGCCACACUGGAACUGAGACACGGUCCAGACUCCUACGGGGAGCAGCAGUGGGGAAUAUUGGACAAUGGGCGCAAGCCUGAUCCAGCCAUACCGCGUGGGUGAAGAAGGCCUUCGGGUUGUAAAGCCCUUUUGUUGGGAAAGAAGAGCAGCAGGUUAAUACCCCGCUGUUCUGACGGUACCCAAAGAAUAAGCACCGGCUAACUUCGUG